CACUGUAAAAUGUAAUAGCUGAGCUUACUAAAAAGAUUAAGUAAACUUAACUUAUUUAAUUAAGUUUGUUAACCUUACUUAGUUUAACUAAGUAAUCCCAACUUUUUUCUAUGCAAACUCAAGUCAACUUGAUUAAACUUAACAGAUUAAUUUAGUUCAACUUAAAAUUUCAAGUAUUUUCAAAAAGGAUGACUGCACAGUAGGUGGCAGUAAUGCUCCCAAGGAGUAAGUGGUGGCUUAACUGAGUGGUUAACUGAAGAAGAUGACAACAGCACAUGGUCGGAUAAGAGCAUGAAGAGGUAAGUUUGUGCUUAUAUAUCAUUUUUAUUUUUUAAUUGCUACGUUUUUAUCGCAAUAUUACAAUCACAGUUUGUAAACAGUAAUAUUUUGUCGGUAAUAAUAAAACUGAUGCAUGCUAUUUGAUCACAAUUAGCAAUCCAACAACUGCUAAUCAUGUAUGUUUAAAGAUAAACAUUUUCGUUCAACAGACAUAAGUAACUAAUAUGCAGAGGUAGAUUGAGUAAAAAUGCAGAGGUGUCAAGUAACGAAGUACAAAUACUUCGUUACCUUACUUAAGUAGAUAUUUUGGGUAUCUAUACUUUACUUGAGUAAUUAUUUUUCAGACGACUUUUUACUUCUACUCCUUACAUUUUCACGCAAUUAUCUGUACUUUCUACUCCUUACAUUUUAAAAAUCGCCUCGUUACUUCUAUUAAUUUCAACUUGUUUUCUUUUUUUACAUUCCGGCUUGUCAUCGUUAAAAAAACCUAUCUUGAUAAAUUGCAUCAUCCAGAUGAAUCCGAUUGUGGUUGGAUGAGAAGUAUAAACAUACACCAUUUCGACUCCCUAUUGGUUUGUACGCAAUCCCCGCCCCCAGCUGACUGCAGAUGAUUAAAAGUUUGUUCGAUAGCGCUGCACAGAGAAACAUAAAAGAACCGCGAGAGCGAUUAGAAAGCAUGCAGAGUGUCUCCCCUCGCGAUGCUUUGAUAUCAUCCGCCAUCUGUUUGUACAGUAACAGAACGCGGCAUUCUGUCUUUAAAUGGAAAAGUACGAAAUAAAACUCGCGCAUCACUUUCAGGUCAGUUCACAUUCACAAGCCUGUGUAAAUGUAUAGCUGGCGGCUGGCACCAACUCAUCUGUGUGAUUUAAAUAGUGUAACAAUACCAAUUUAUAUCAUGUAACUUCAGUUGUUCAACUUAAAUGACAUUGUGCUGCGUUGCGUUUUGAAGCAUGGCAAAGAUAUCUAGGCUAAAGACAUUGUUGUUUUGUAUAUGCUAAUAACUGCCGUAAAUUUUAUUUGCAUUAACAAAACGUACUUAGCUGAAUGCUUGAGUGUUAAAUCAAUGAAACACAUAACCAUACAUACCAACUUUUGCUUUUGUUAAUAGACAUCAGCUGUUUCCUUCAACCUGACCUUUAAUUUACUUACAAUAAAGACAUUUAGUAAUUCUCCAAAAUUGCUUGGAUAUAUACUGACUAAAGUAAAGUAUACUAAAGUCCAUUAGCUACACAAGUACAGAUGAGGAAAUAUAGGCUAUAAUAUAUAAUUGCAUAUUUGUAUAAUUGUAGUUUGUGUUGCUGUCAAAAUACAAUUAUAAAUGAUAACAAUAGCAUAUUUGUAUUCUCACACAUACUAUAGUUGUGUGAUUUUGUUGUUUUUUAACUUAAGAGGGCACCACUGUAAAAGUUUGGCCACAUGAACACAUGUUAAUGCUCAGCAGUACAAAUAUAUGGAUAUUUAAUGCAGUUGUUAUCAAACAUUUUUUGCGGCCUCCCUUGUGUACAGUGGAUUGACAUUAAUAUUCUAAAACUUAAAAUUUGAAUUAAACAAAACAUUUUAAAUUAUACAAUUUAUUGCUUUUGUUUAGUAGCCUUAUUUUUCUGAGGUUUAAUUACACAGAAUUUAUAAUAAAGUAAUGUAUUUCAUAAAAUAUUAUAAAACUGGGCCCCUGGCACCAUCUGGCGACAUCCAGUUUGAGAACCACUGCUUUAAUGUAUUUGUUUGCAUUGUAUUGAAAUGCGUUCAUUUUUAAUGGGCAUAUACCGUAUGUGGUUGAAACAGAUAGCCUAGUGCAGGGGUAGGCAACAUGGAGUGCCGAUGUCCUGCAGUGUUUAGCUCCAGGUCUAAUCAAGCACACUUGAACAAACUAAUAAAGGUUAAAGUCACCUGAAACUACAGGUAACCAAGGUUUUAUAAGGGUUGGAGCUAAUCUGCAGGACAUCGACACUCCAGGACUGACGUUGCCUACCCCUGGCCCUAGUGCAUCCCAAAUUUUUUAACAUUAACAUUUUAAUAACACUAUAGUUAUUAUGGCCUUUAGAAACAUUUUUUAGAGGAGAUAGGGAAGGCCCCUGUGGUGCGGCCUAUGCUUUUUUCUCUAAUGACAUUUUUUUCCUUACAUUACUUUUACUUUUAUACUUUAAGUAGUUUUGAAACCAGUACUUUUUCACUUUUACUUGAGUAAAAAGCUUGAGUUGAUACUUCAACUUCUACAAAAGUCUUUUAAAACCCUAGUAUCUAUACUUCUACUUGAGUAAUGAAUAUGAAUACUUUUGACACCACUGUAAAAAUGUAAUUAUAUAAAAAGUUAGUUAAAGUUAAGCCUUAUAGUAAUAACUGCUUGAGUAAAAGUAUGCAAUGGAAAAACUGCUUAAGUAGUGAGUUUAUAAUUCGUGUUGGUGUGGUUUAUAAUAAUAAACUACAUGAAAAUGCUUAGAACUGCUUAUAAAAGGUAAAAUAGCACAUUUAAAGUAGGUGCUUUCAAAAUUGUUACUCAAGUCAAUGUAAUGCAGUAAGCAUGUUUCACCUCUGGAGAAAAAACAUUAAUAACUUCAUACCUUAAAAUGCCAAGUUAUGUUAAAUAAGAGAUGUGCUGUAUAAAAAGUUUUAAGUUUAUAGAGUGAAUGCGUAAAAUGUUGUUUUUACAAUUGCUUUUUAGUAUCUAUCAAUCAAUAUACUAUGUUAAUUGUAUAUUAUUAUUAUUUAGCAGGAGCUUGUUUCUUUGAAGAGAGCGCAUACCCUUCAUGGAAAGUCAGUAACGUUACUGUGGAGUACAACCAAGUCGCAAGCAAAAACCUCAAGCAAGAAUUGUUCUCAUCCCUUGCUAAACAUUGUUUUUGAAGAUUUUGAAUGAAAGAAAAGUUUUAAAGCUCUCUUGAGUAUCUAAUAAACAUCACUGAUGACAGUGCUCGGUGGACGGUAGUUCUCUGUGGUCUUGCUAACCUUCUUGCAGAAGACACUACAGACUUCCUGAAAACAAACAUGGACUGUGAUGGUGACCCACCUCAACUAUCAAUAGGAAUUCUCAUUCUGGUGCCGGAGGACAGGCAUUUCUCCACAUGGUUUACAGCAAUUAUUUGGUAGGGUGUCACAGCCAUGGAUGGACUUGAGAAAGUAUCACAUGCCAUGUGUUUAGUUUUUGGACUGAUCGUUGUUUUAAAUAUGGAGUACCUCUUCACAGUUUAUUUUGAGUUGAUUCACAGGGUUUUUCUUUCCCUGGGGCACAAAUCACUAAAGUCAAAACUGCCAUCACUACAAAACAUACUAAUGUGAAGUAGUGUGUUUUGUGUGAAACAAGUCUGUGUUACUGUAGAUCUGUUGCAUUUUGGGGUUUUUAUUUUUUGUCAGCCUGGAUACAAGUUCCAGAAAAACUCAACUUUAAUUGCUGCAAAACUUUGAUGUUUUAGUUAAGCUGUAUUUUGCGUGUUUCUGAUGGCAGAAACAAGAUUGUUACUGUAGGUCUGUUGAUGCAAUUUGUGAUUUUUUAUCAGUCACAUGACAGCCUGGAUACAAAACCAAAACUGCAGUCACUAAAAAAAAUAGUUUUGAAUUUGUUUGUCAAGGUGUGUUCAUUGUGUUUGUAAUAACAGAAACAAGACUGUCUUAGGUCUAUUGUUGCAUUUUGGGUGUCCAGAUUGAUGGGUGACUGAACACAAACCCCUUUCUUGUAUGUGUGUGUGCGCGUGCGUGUGACAAAAAUGUUUUACUUUGUACACUGUUAACAUGUUUAAAAUAAACGUUUUAACCUCAUUUUGUUGCUUUUUGGCUUUACUCAUUUUUGUUAGUUCAGCUUACUUACAAAUAUAAGGCAAUCAGUUUCCUUAUAUUUACUAGUAAAGUGAACAAUAAAAAGAAGUUAUCUCAACUAAUGAUUUUAAGUAAAGAGUACUUAACUUUACUUGAUUAAUAAGUUUAGUCUACUUGUACUGUUAAGUUUUGACAACUUAAAAUCAAUACUCUACCUUACUUGAUGAAUAAGUUCAGGCUACAAAUAAUAUAAAGUUUUGCCAACUUAAAAGCAAUACACUAACUUACUUAAAAUUAUGAGGCAAUCAGUUUCCUCACUUUUUUAAGUAAACU